rnacentral:rRNA from 1 species
UGAGGAAUAUUGGUCAAUGGACGGAAGUCUGAACCAGCCAUCCCGCGUGCAGGAAGAAGGCGCUAUGCGUUGUAAACUGCUUUUCCAGGGGAAGAAAACCUGCUACGUGUAGUGGUUUGACGGUACCCUGGGAAUAAGCAUCGGCUAACUCCGUGCCAGCAGCCGCGGUAAUACGGAGGAUGCGAGCGUUAUCCGGAUUUAUUGGGUUUAAAGGGUGCGUAGGCGGACCGAUAAGUCAGUGGUGAAAACCUGCAGCUUAACUGUAGAACUGCCAUUGAUACUGUCGGACUUGAGUAUGGUCAAGGUAGGCGGAAUGUGUAAUGUAGCGGUGAAAUGCUUAGAUAUUACACAGAACACCGAUUGCGAAGGCAGCUUGCUGGACCAUUACUGACGCUGAUGCACGAAAGCGUGGGGAGCAAACAGG